rnacentral:rRNA from 1 species
AUUGAACGCUGGCGGCAGGCCUAACACAUGCAAGUCGAACGAGUGGCGGACGGGUGAGUAAUGUCUGGGAAACUGCCUGAUGGAGGGGGAUAAAUAAUGGAAACGGUAGCUAAUACCGCAUACCAUCAGAUGUGCCCAGAUGGGAUUAGCUUGUUGGUGGGGUAACGGCUAACCAAGGCGACGAUCCCUAGCGGGGCUGAGAGGAUAACCAGCCACACUGGAACGGAGACACGGUCCAGACUCCUACGUGAGGCAGCAGUGGUGAAUAUUGCACAAGGGGCGCAAUCCUGAUGCAGCCAUGCCGCGUGUAUGAAGAAGGCCUUCGGGUUGUAAAGUACUUUCAGCGGGGAGGCGUUACCCGCAGAAGAAGCACCGGCUAACUCCGUGCCAGCCGCCGCGGUAAUAC